UACGAAGGGGGCGAGCGUUAUUCGGAAUCACUGGGCGUAAAGCGUGCGUAGGCCGUUUGGCAAGUUGGAAGUGAAAGCCCAGGGCUCAACCCUGGAAUUGCUUUCAAAACUGCCAAACUAGAGUCCGGGAGAGGAUAGCGGAAUUUCCAGUGUAGUAGUGAAAUACGUAGAUAUUGGAAGGAACACCAGUGGCGCAAGCGGCUAUCUGGACCGGUACUGACGCUGAGGCACGAAAGCGUGGGGAUCAAACAGG
rnacentral:rRNA from 1 species